AGUGCACGUGCUGUUACUUCAGAUGGCCAGGUAAUUAAAUCCGCCUCAAAGGUUAUCUUAGAUCUGCACAGAGGGACCUGACCGUCACCGUGACAACCAGGCUGCGACUGCGCAGCCUCACGAGACGUGUGCCUGGAGGCACGCCUCCUCCCAGGUAAGGGCGCCGUGGCCAGGACGAUGGCCAGGAGUGACAGCCCCACAUGUGUGGCUGCGAGAGAGGUGCCCGCAGCAAAGACGGCACGUAUCGCAAAUUAAAAACAUGCCACUGCUGGGAGCCCGUAUCACAGGGAGAUCGUGCCCCCAAAGCGGCGUCAUGAAAUGAAGUUCCAGAAACACCAGGACUAAUGGCAAACCGGCCACUCCGGACUACGUGGCAGGCCUAGGUCUUACUCAGGUUUUCUUCGUCUUCUAGAUCCAUGGCGAAAGGCUGCAGAGGGUUUCUUGACUGGCGGAGGCUGUUUCUGCCCUGGGAUCAGCUCAGCUCCUGUGUGCACUCUGGUCCAGGGGCCAGGCCUCCGUCGGCGCGUGUAGGGCUGAGGUCAUCAGAACGUGAGCGAGCGUGGCCAGGGCGUUUCUUCAGCUGCUUCUCCAGCUCUCCACGCCCAACUUGAAAGACUUCACUCUCACCCGCUGGC